rnacentral:rRNA from 1 species
AAUAGAUACCCGGGUAGUCCACCCCGUAAACGUUGGGAACUAGUUGUGGGGACCAUUCCACGGUUUCCGUGACGCAGCUAACGCAUUAAGUUCCCCGCCUGGGGAGUACGGCCGCAAGGCUAAAACUCAAAGGAAUUGACGGGGACCCGCACAAGCGGCGGAGCAUGCGGAUUAAUUCGAUGCAACGCGAAGAACCUUACCAAGGCUUGACAUAUACGAGAACGGGCCAGAAAUGGUCAACUCUUUGGACACUCGUAAACAGGUGGUGCAUGGUUGUCGUCAGCUCGUGUCGUGAGAUGUUGGGUUAAGUCCCGCAACGAGCGCAACCCUCGUUCUAUGUUGCCAGCACGUAAUGGUGGGAGCUCAUGGGAUACUGCCGGGGUCAACUCGGAGGAAGGUGGGGAUGACGUCAAAUCAUCAUGCCCCUUAUGUCUUGGGCUUCACGCAUGCUACAAUGGCCGGUACAAAGGGCUGCAAUACCGUAAGGUGGAGCGAAUCCCAAAAAGCCGGUCCCAGUUCGGAUUGAGGUCUGCAACUCGACCUCA